CACCCCUGGCUAUGGACAAGAGACACCUACCUGAUUGGUGGUGGUGCUCUUAUAUCAGUCAGGGACAGAGCCAACUUGAAGUCCUUUGUUCAUCCUAGCUUGAUGCCUGGAUUGUGGCCAGAGCUGUUUCAUGCCUAGGGCACAUUU
rnacentral:snoRNA from 1 species